GCCUGGGUGGCUCAGUUGGUUAAGCGUCUGACUUCCGCUCAGGUCACGAUCUCAUGAUCUGUGAGUUCGAGCCCCGCGUCGGGCU
rnacentral:tRNA from 1 species